UUACAAACACCUGCCGCUUGACCGAGACUAGGCAGGUCUAACAAUCCGUCUCUCAUAUCCUUGCCUGAGGGUGGCGAGGAAAUAGUAUCUCCA
rfam:Synechococcus phage S-WAM2 isolate 0810PA29, complete genome.